rnacentral:rRNA from 1 species
GACGAACGCUGGCGGCGUGCUUAACACAUGCAAGUCGAACGAUGAAACCUAGCUUGCUAGGUCGAUUAGUGGCGAACGGGUGAGUAACACGUGACUAACCUGCCCCUUUCUCUGGGAUAACGCUCCGAAAGGAGUGCUAAUACCGGAUACUCACAUCGAGGCACAUGCCUUGAUGUGGAAAGUUUUUCGGAAAGGGAUGGAGUCGCGGCCUAUCAGCUUGUUGGUGAGGUAACGGCUCACCAAGGCGACGACGGGUAGCCGGCCUGAGAGGGCGACCGGCCACACUGGGACUGAGACACGGCCCAGACUCCUACGGGAGGCAGCAGUGGGGAAUAUUGCACAAUGGGCGAAAGCCUGAUGCAGCGACGCCGCGUGAGGGAUGAAGGUCUUCGGAUUGUAAACCUCUUUCAGUAGGGACGAAGCGAAAGUGACGGUACCUAAAGAAGAAGCACCGGCUAACUACGUGCCAGCAGCCGCCGUAA